GAUCACUUUGUUUCUGGGUUCAUGAAUUUUAGCUACAGGUUCAGAUUUUUGGAUGAUGAUGGUGAAAGGUGAUUUGUGAUUCUUGAUUCAGCAUUGCAAGAUUGAUAAUGAGAUUGUGCAAAUAGACAGUCGAGAAUGGAAUGGGAUUGGAGGAGAGGAAAAGGAAGAAGAAGAAGACUGUAUCAGAAGAUUCACUAUUAUGCCACGUCUUCAAAACUUAGAAAUCCUAGUUUGCACAAAGUUAAAAUCGGUGCCGAAUUUCCUUUGUACAACUCUAUUACAGAAAUUGGAGAUUUCGACAUGUCCAAUUUUGGAGGAAUGCUUCAAAAGAGGGACAGGAGAGGACUGGCCCAAGAUUUCCCACAUCCCUAACAUCAUCAUUGAUUACAAGUACGUGAAAGGCAAUCAAGAAUGUAUGCCAGAACCGAGGAUUUUCAGAGCUAUGAUGAGGAAGAAGAGGACCUAUGAUUUUGUAUAUCUAGGUUCAUUAUCUUAGCUUCAAGUAGAUAUUUUUGGAUGACAAUGGUGAAAGAUGAUUUAUGUGUGUGGGCAAGGUUCAUUCUUGGCUUGAUUCAGUGAUAGAAGUCUAAUCCAUUCAUGGGUUGCAGUUUUCUAGUUCCCUAAUGUGUCACUGCUUGAAAGGUGUUGGUCUGUUCACAAUCAUGUUU